CUUAAGAGUUAGUUAUAAGAGAAGCGAGCCGUAAAUGAAUACCACAUGAGUUCCCGUACACUUAAGCCUCAAACUGUAUUUAACAAAAGAGUUGGCAAUACCUGAGCUCUUCUGUCUUGCUUUUGAAUCCUCUUGUAACAUAGGCAGAGACAGGAAAUCUUCUGAGGAGAGCCUUCACCCGAUUGAAGGAAAGUUCUUUGCUUCCAACGGGAGCAAAAGGCUUAGUAGGCUUAGUCUUCACUAGCUGGGGGACUGACUCUUCAGAGAACUGGAGGCGCUUCUGUUAUUUUAAUGGUAUCAUACAUUUCCAAACUAACCAAAGCUUUCCUUUAUCUGAUUGCUGCUGCUGCUGCUGGAAUGCUCUUCCUUCUCCCUCAAUAGUAUAGGUUAGUUAGUUCUCCUUAAACUCACCUAAACUUACAAGUACUAAUCAAUCACUCCUACUUUCCGAAGUCCCAGGCGUUUCUCCUCAAAUUGCUUGCUUUGCACAAACACGUCAUCAGUGUUUAUGAAAGCGUCCCAGACUUCAUAUAAUCCUUCCCGCUCCUUUUGCCUGGUUUCAGUCACUGAAGCGACGUUCCCUUGGUCGCUGCUUUUGUCCCAACUCCCCUCCAGUACUUUCCUUUUCCUGGACCCUUCUGCCCAUCCCACCCUCUGUCUCGCCCUGAACCCCAGCUCCCACAUCUACCAGACUCUCUGGGUCCCUUCACUUCCCGAGGGGAUUAGCAGCCGCUCACCUCUGCCUUGGGCCAAUGGAAUUGCACCGCCUUUGGGGUCUGCUCAGCCUCUAGGGGUCUUCACUCGGGAGGAGGGCGGGGCAGGUGACGCAGCUAUAGCCUCGGCUUCUGGGAAUGGGCGGGCCAUCGACCCGGGACCACCAGCGCCUACCCAGGCUCGCCUGCGAGUUUGCUCCUCCUGUGCUGCAGGCUUCCACCGUUUGAGAAAUGUGACUAAAAUGACUGUUUAAUCCCUGUGGUUGAAGCACAUGUGAGUGAGCCUUUGAUGAGCAUUUGGGAUAAAUGUUUUGGGGCAGAUGUUCUGAAGAUGUGCUCCUAGAACAAGUAAGUUCUUAAGCUCCAUCUCUCAGGCCCACCAUACGGACCAUCCUAGGGCAGGGGCCUAGGGAUCUUUGUGUUAACAAAAUUUCUAAAGGUUUUUAAUUGAUGGAUUCUGAAAAUAAUUUAUAAAUGCAGAUGAUAUUUAUGGAAGAUUUACUCUGUGACAAGUAUCAUAAGCUUUUUUUUUUAAAGUCAGUUUAUUUCCACAUUAUAAUAGCAUCCAUGAGCAUACAAGGAACACAUUCAUGCUGCUCUCACUUUAUACAGGUGUGAAGAAAAAUGGCUCAUCUAGGUAAUGCGUCUUGUAAGUAGAAACAGUACAGUUGAUUCAAACCCACGUGACUGGGCUCCACAGAAUGAAUGGAGCUGCCAAAGCUGAGGUGGCCUGGCUUGGGUACAAAUUAGUAAUAUUCCAUAUCCAGUUGCUAAUCACCAAGUGAUUUCUAGUCAGUAAUGAUCAAGGUAGAAUUAAAGAGUCAAGGAGUCAGAGUUAGCAUUAACCCUGGAGACCUGUGUGGCACGAACAAGGUCCUUAGCACUGCAGAGACAACCAUAUUCUUAAGAUGUCUGCAUGUGGACACUUGCCUUGGAAAUAUGGCAUCUAGUAUGUUCUGGGCAGCUACAGCUUGUCAUUCUUCCAAAGCUCCUUCCAGACUAACGUCAUAGCUCUGUAUUCGGUAGGUUAUUUCUAACCAAGGUCGAGCCUUCCAGACCUCAGCUCCAGCAAACCACAGAGAGAUGAUUGCAGUGUGUUAGAAUACAUAUUUUCCCAGGAUCACUACUCAGGAUCAUUUUACUUCUAGAUGUUUCAAAUAUUCCUUUCCCACCUCUUAUAUAACCUAUAAGACCUAUUAGAAAGCCAGCACAUAUUUUAUACCUAUUCUAGCUCAGUUUCUCCUAUUUAUUAUG
ensembl:lncRNA